rnacentral:rRNA from 1 species
GCGGAUGCUAUUGUUAUUGGGAUUCGAUUAAGCCAUGCAAGUCGAACGAGUUUAGGCUCGUGGCGUACGGCUCAGUAACACGUGGAUAACCUACCCUUAGGACCGGGAUAACCUUGGGAAACUGAGGAUAAUACUGGAUAGGCAAUUUUUCCUGUAAUGGUUUUUUGUUUAAAUGUUUUUUCGCCUAAGGAUGGGUUUGCGGCCGAUUAGGUAGUUGGUUAGGUAAUGGCUUACCAAGCCUUUUAUCGGUACGGGUUGUGAGAGCAAGAGCCCGGAGAUGGAACCUGAGACAAGGUUCCAGGCCCUACGGGGUGCAGCAGGCGCGAAACCUCCGCAAUGUGAGAAAUCGCGACGGGGGGAUCCCAAGUGCCAUUCUUAACGGGAUGGCUUUUCAUUAGUGUAAAGAGCUUU